GUGUCAGCCGCCGCGGUAAAACGUAGGAGGCAAGCGUUAUCCGGAGUUACUGGGCGUAAAGCGUGCGUAGGCGGGAGUGUAAGUGGGUGGUGAAAGCGCUCGGCUAAACCGGGCGAGUGCCAUUCAGACUGCAUUUCUAGAGGCGGAUAGAGGGGUGCGGAAUUCCGGGUGUAGCGGUGAAAUGUGUAGAGAUCCGGAGGAACACCAGUGGUGCAAACGGCGCCCUGGGUCCGAACUGACGCUGAGGCACGAAAGCGUGGGGAGCGAACGGGAUUAGAAACCCCUGUAGUCC
rnacentral:rRNA from 1 species